GCUGUCUGAACGUGGCGGCACUGACUGGACCAAGAGACCAAGUCAGAAAGGGGAACCUGUGUAAAGGGAGUGUAGAGCUAGGAGCCAAGCGUCUUGGAAGCCCUUUCCGAGGAUGGCAAAGGAUCUGGGAAUGCUUCUCCAAAGAUAUGUGGAUGGACGAAAUAGCUCUCAGACUCCCCAGUACAAUGACUCAAGCAGAAAUUAAGCUCUGUUCUUUGUUGCUGCAAGAGCAUUUUGGAGAGAUUGUAGAAAAAAUUGGAGUCCAUCUGAUAAGAACCGGUAGCCAGCCACUAAGAGUAAUUGCCGAUGACACAGGAACAUCACUGGAUCAGGUGAAAAAAGCCCUGUGUGUCCUCGUCCAACAUAACCUGUGACACUGGAGAGCUGAUUGUUGAGGAGCUUCUGUUGAACGGCAAACUGACAAUGUCAGCUGUUGUGAAGAAAGUGGCAGACCGGCUCACAGAGACCAUGGAGGAUGGCAAGACCAUGGACUAUGCUGAAGUAUCAAACACAUUUGUGCGACUGGUAGACACACACUUUGUACAACGCUGCCCUUCGGUACCUACCACUGAGAAUUCAGACCCUGGGCCACCACCACCUGCCCCAACACUUGUCAUUAAUGAAAAGGACAUGUACCUGGUUCCUAAACUCAGCUUGAUAGGGAAAGGUAAAAGGCGGAGAUCAUCUGAUGAAGAUGCUGCUGGGGAGCCCAAGGCCAAGAGACCAAAACAUACUACAGAUAACAAGGAGCCCAUUCCAGAUGAUGGGAUUUAUUGGCAGGCCAACCUUGACAGAUUCCACCAACACUUCCGUGACCAAGCCAUUGUGAGUGCAGUUGCUAACAGGA
rnacentral:sRNA from 1 species